rnacentral:lncRNA from 1 species
AGGGCGCUGCUGUGCUCAGAGCUCAGCUCACCCUCUGCUCGCAUCGGGCACACAAGUUACCAGUUUGAUCACCAGCGAGCGUGCGACAACCAGACCAGAUAACACCGCCGUUUGUGCGAUUUCUUUACGCAAAAAGGCAGGGGUUUUGGUUGGAUCGCGAAACCGAGGCGAGGCGAUGCGAUUGUGCCUGCGCCAAGUUGCCUGCCGAC